GUCGGUGGCGUGGGUGACGUCGGCGUGGGGGGUGGGACUUCCUGCUUCGCGCGCCGCUGGGCCAAGGGACAGAGCCCGCUCCUCCAGGCUGGUGGGGCGGUGCGAUGAGGCGGCUUCUGGGCCAUACGUCAGCACGUGGGGUGGCGCCGCACCCCUGAGGAUCCCGGUCCACGCGGAGGAGUGGGGCUUUUCACCGCCGCCGCCGCCGCCGCCGCCCUCGGACCUCUCCCGGGAUACUUCACAUUUCCCUAGGGACGGGAGCUCGAGGGGUUCGUUCGGCCCUCUUCCUCUCGCUGGGCCGACACCCCGCUGUAGGACCGUAACCCUUAGUCCCAAUGCCUCCGUAAGCGGAGUUGAGUGGGUGCCUGUGGUUGGAGCUGUGGAGGUGUCCCCGGUGGCGAGCGCGGCCAGAACUGCGGUCACUUAAGUUUUCCGUGAGCGGGUUGCAAGGAGCGUGCGUGCGUCUGGUAUAGGGAGGACCCCUCUGGAUUGAGGAUCUUAUGACCUACUUUAGAGGAAGGUAUAAUUUGGCCUCCUGAGAUUCUGCCUUAGCAAGAAAGGAGUGGGAAAUACCCUUGGAAAGAAAACUAAAACAGUAAGAAAGCCAAAACUUAUUUUUACAUGGUUGUCAGCACAUUUACCGAUAUGGACACUUUUCCCAAUAAUUUUCCUCCUGGUGGAGACAGUGGAUUGACAGCUUCUCAGUCGGAGUUCCAGAAAAUGUUAAUUGAUGAAAGGUUACGAUGUGAGCAUCAUAAAGCUAAUUAUCAGACACUGAAGGCUGAACACACAAGGUUGCAGAAUGAACAUGUAAAGUUACAAAAUGAACUCAAGCACCUGUUUAAUGAAAAGCAAACUCAGCAGGAAAAACUUCAGCUCCUACUUGAAGAACUAAGAGGAGAAUUAGUAGAGAAAACUAAAGAUUUAGAAGAAAUGAAACUGCAGAUAUUAACUCCACAAAAGUUGGAAUUGCUAAGAGCCCAAAUACAACAAGAAUUAGAAACUCCAAUGAGAGAACGUUUUAGGAAUCUAGAUGAAGAGGUGGAAAAGUAUAGAGCUGUAUAUAAUAAGCUUCGCUAUGAACAUACAUUUCUCAAGUCAGAAUUUGAACACCAGAAGGAAGAGUAUGCACGUAUUUUAGAUGAAGGAAAAAUAAGAUAUGAAUCAGAGAUUGCAAGACUGGAGGAAGAUAAAGAAGAACUACGUAACCAGCUGCUUAAUGUUGAUCUCACAAAAGACAGCAAACGAGUGGAACAACUUGCUCGAGAAAAAGUCUAUUUGUGUCAAAAAUUAAAAGGUUUAGAGGCUGAAGUAGCGGAAUUAAAGGCUGAAAAGGAGAAUUCUGAGGCUCAGGUGGAAAAUGCCCAAAGAAUACAGGUGCGGCAGUUGGCUGAGAUGCAGGCUACAGUCAGAUCCCUGGAGGCUGAAAAACAAUCAGCUAAUUUACGGGCAGAACGCUUGGAAAAAGAGCUACAAUCAAGCAGUGAACAAAAUACCUUUUUAAUUAAUAAAUUGCAUAAAGCUGAACGAGAAAUAAAUACAUUGUCCAGUAAAGUAAAAGAACUUAAACAUUCCAACAAACUGGAAAUAACAGACAUCAAACUGGAGACAGCAAGAGCUAAGAGUGAGCUAGAAAGAGAAAGGAAUAAGAUUCAAAGUGAACUGGAUGGAUUACAGUCAGACAAUGAAAUUCUCAAAGCAGCUGUUGAACAUCACAAAGUGCUCUUAGUAGAAAAGGAUCGUGAAUUAAUACGUAAAGUACAAGCUGCCAAAGAAGAAGGUUAUCAAAAACUUGUGGUAUUACAAGAUGAAAAGUUAGAACUCGAGAACAGAUUAGCAGAUUUGGAGAAAAUGAAAGUGGAACAUGAGGUCUGGAGGCAAUCUGAAAAGGAUCAGUAUGAAGAGAAAUUGCGGGCUUCACAGAUGGCAGAAGAGAUCACCAGGAAGGAGCUUCAGAGUGUUAGGUUAAAACUUCAGCAACAAAUUGUGACUAUUGAAAAUGCAGAGAAGGAAAAAAAUGAAAAUUCUGACCUAAAACAGCAAAUCAGUAGUUUGCAGAUCCAAGUGACUUCACUUGCACAGUCAGAGAAUGACUUGCUGAAUUCAAACCAAAUGCUGAAGGAAAUGGUGGAGAGAUUAAAACAAGAAUGCCGAAAUUUUAGAAGCCAAGCUGAAAAAGUGCAACUAGAAGCUGAAAAGACAUUGGAAGAGAAACAGAUACAGUGGUUGGAAGAAAAGCAUAAGCUUCAUGAGCGUAUCACAGACAGAGAAGAAAAGUACAAUCAAGCUAAGGAGAAACUGCAGCGAGCUGCAAUUGCCCAGAAAAAGAGAAAAUCUCUUCAUGAAAACAAAUUGAAAAGACUACAAGAGAAAGUAGAAGUCUUGGAGGCAAAGAAAGAAGAAUUGGAAACAGAAAAUCAGGUCUUAAAUAGGUCUCUGUCACAUACCAGGUGUUUGCCUUAUGAUUGGGACUAACAGAAAAUGUCACUGGCUUUGGUAGCAAGGAGUGGUGUUAGUUGUUGCUGCUGUACAAGACAGUUGUAGCUAUUGCAUAGUUCUGAAAAUUGUGCCUACAACUUUGAAUCAAAGACAAAAUGUUCCUUUUGAAGACUAUACAAGGCUUCAAAAAAGACUAAAAGAUAUACAGAGAAGACAUAAUGAAUUUCGAAGUCUAAUUUUGGUUCCUAACAUGCCUCCAACAGCAUCUAUCAAUCCUGUUAGCUUUCAGUCAUCAGCCAUGGUUCCAAGCAUGGAACUACCAUUUCCUCCUCAUAUGCAGGAGGAACAACAUCAAAGGGAACUCUCUCUACUUCGCAAAAGACUAGAAGAACUGGAAACAACACAAAGAAAACAACUAGAGGAACUUGGAUCUUCUGGAGAAUGAUGUUCUUGGAGAACAGGCAGAUCAAAAGAGGUGAAGUUGGUGACUCAGUAAAACUUGACAUUUUAACCUGUGGCAUUUAGAUACUUUUUACUGUUUGCCAAAACACUUGAAUGUGCCUCAAGAAAAGGUGCCUACUACAUGCUGUAUUGUAUGACUGUCAGGAUUUUAAGAUUAUACAAGUGAAGCAUUAAAAGAGAAAUUCUCAGAGAUAUUUAGAAUAUUUGACAAUGGUUUGAGAAUGUAAAACAAAAAGGAACUAGUUAGAGUCAAGUUUUAAAAUUUUUACUUUGUUGAAUUUUUUUUUUUUUUGGCAUUUUGAGUGAAAUAUAACUAUCAUUAAUUCUCUCUUCAUCUUUGAGAUGCUUGGCCAUAACAGGGUCCAUACACAUCUUCUGGUUUACUAUAUACAAAAACUGUAGUUGAAAAAAGAUGACAAUUUAAAAGUCAGCCUAAAGAAUGUAAAGGUAUCUAUAUACAAAAGGCUACCUUUUCUAAAAUCUGUGUGCACAUAAUUAAAGAGCUUAAUUUUUUUUUAA